rnacentral:ncRNA from 1 species
AAUAAAUUUUAUAUAGUUUAAAAAAUUUAUUUUAAGUUUAUUUUACAUAUAAAUUUUAGUGUUAAUAAUCAUUUAUUUAAAAAAUAUUUAUUAUUUGUAGUAAUUAAUAUUAAAAAUUUAAGAAAUUAAGAUUUAGUAAUAUUAAAAUUAUUAACAAAUUUUGUGCCAGCAGUUGCGGUUAUACAAAAAUUAAAUUAAAUUUUAUUAGUUAUUUAAUAAAUAGUUUAUUUAUAUAAUUUAAAUUUUAAAUUAUUAAGUGAAAUUUUAAUUUAAUUAUAAUUUAUUAAUAAUUUAUUAUGAAUUAAUAAAUUUAAAUAAUAAACUAGGAUUAGAUACCCUAUUAUUUUAAAUUUAAAAUUAAAAUACUAAAAUAGUAUAUAAUUAUUUAUUGAAACUUAAAUAUUUUGGCGGUAUUUUAGUUUACUUAGAGGAAUCUGUUUAUUAAUUGAUAAUCCACGAAUAAAUUUACUUAAUUUAUUAUUUUGUAUAUCAUUGUUAAAUAAACAUUUUUUAAAAAUUAAUAAUAUUUUAAAAUUAUUAAUAAAAAUUAAAUCAAAUCAAGAUGCAGAAAAUAAUUAAGAAUAUAAUGGAUUACAAUAAAUUUAUUUAAAUGAAUUUUAAUUUGUAAAAAUUAAAUGAAAGUGGAUUUAAUUGUAAUUUUAUUUAAUUUAAUAAAAUGAUUAAAAAUUAAAAUAUGUACAUAUUGCCCGUCGCUUUCAUAAAUAAAUUGAAAUAAGUCGUAACAAAGUAGAGGUACUGGAAAGUGUUUCUAGAAAGAU